AGAAUCAAAAUAUGGAAACCCGGAGAUUCUGUUCUGCUGGCUGUGCGGUUGAAUGACGAGGUGGAACUGAGCAGCUGAUCAAAAGCGAUCGGGACAUGUACUAACAUAUAUUUCGUUAUGACGACAAACAUUAUAUCUGCUUGGAUCUUACGUCAGAACAUCUGAACAGUUCGACCACAGGUGCUCUCCGAAAAAACAUUUGUUUUUUUGUAAACUAGAUUUAAAAAUGUUAUUUCAAAAUAGACAUUUGCAUAUGA